rnacentral:lncRNA from 1 species
ACUAUGUAGGCGAAGCUGGUCUCGAACUCCUGACCUCAGAUGAUCCACCCGCCUCAGCCUCCCAAAGUGCUGGGAUUACAGGCGUGAGCCACUGCGCCUGGCCUGUUUAUUCUCUUAAGAGAGAAAAUGAGGGGAUUAAUGGACUGUAGUUCUGGACAAGGUGGAAAACUCUUAAAGUGGAAGUACUGGGGCAAGUGCUCUGACAGGGUAGGAUGGUGCAGUCAGUCCCUUCACCCAGAAAUCAGUAGAAUGUUAGCAGUUCAGACUCAAACCUUGUGAAAAACAGGUGGUGGAAAGGAAAUCCCUCACAGCAACUGGCACCAUAAUCAAGACAAUGUUUACAGAAUAAAUGGAGUUACCUGCUUUCAGCCCCAGGUCGUAGCUAUUGUCUGCCCUGCUGAUAUGUGAUAAUAAUUUGUGAUCCUGUUGUCUUAAAAUGGGGUCACUCAUCUCCAGUAGAAUUAAGUCCACAGUGAAGUUGUCCCCCCAUCCCCAAAGAGAUAAACAUAUAUGAAUGAACUCACGUGAUAACAACUACUGCUGCCUGGGAUCAUGAGAGACCUGAACUGAACUGAUAGGAUGUGAAAGGUGGCUGAGAUAAUGAGAAUAGACCCAUCUGCAGAGGAUCAUAAAACCAGCAAAGACAAGAUCUUGUCUAAGAUGCCUUCACAAGCUUUGUCCAUGAGAACUCUUAAGGAUUUCACCAGACCUGUUGGCUGCUGCUGUGAUCUCUGCCCAAGAGGAGCCUCUGACCAACAUCCAAAGGGCUUCUGGACCCACUGGACUCCUCUGGAGGUACCUUGGUCUCCCGAUCCAUGGCUGUGGUUUUUUACUCCCUUUAUCACUGCCUGUGUGUAGAAUGAUAAUUGCACAAUUGAUAGUGUGAAGACCUCUUGAUAAAUGGUAAAUCUGAGCAUAUGUAUUUGGCUGACAUGUCAUUGUGAAACCUCACAGCUUCAGUCAGUGUCUCUCCAAGGACUAAACAAUGGAAGACUGUAGAAGAUGCUAUUCAUUAAGAUAUCGCAAGAAUAUGGAAGACUAUUAUUCGCUUCUCAUGGGACAGGACUUUUCAGGGCACCUGAAAAAACUCCCAUGAAAAAUCACUUUUACAAAAUGUCAAGUUAUGAUAUUCAAGAUGAAACCAAUGAGUCACAACAUUCACAUAAUACACUGUACAACCCUGAUCUCUUGACUGUCAUCAAAUGUUUCUUACCUCUAAACCAAAGUUUCAUUUUAUAAUUUAAUUUUUCUCAUUUUUUCCAUUCUCUUAGCUUAAGAAAAGAUCAUUACAAACUUUUUGUAAGUUUUUCAUAUAUGCUUGCAAAGGGUUGUAAAACUUUAUUGUGAUUAUUCUUGCUUUAAGCUGAAACAUCCCUAAUCUUUCUUUAGAGAUUGUGGCAUAGCAUGUUAGUUUCUUUUCCAUAUCCAAUUGUUUUCUGUAGUGAAUACAGAAAUACGGGCACUAUUUUGUAACUUUAAAUAGACAUCAUCUCAAGUCUACAAGAAUUAUCCAAAAUGGUAUUUAAUGACAUUUCUAGGUCUUCAGACACUAUUAAUGCAGAUUGUAGCCUCUAGGUCCUGAAGAUUUUACUAGAUACUGGUUACUGAAACUGAGCUUUCUUGAAUUCUUUUUCCUUCCACUGUGGUUUCCCGCAUUUCAACAUAUCACCUAUUUUUGUCCUCAAAGGUUACUUAAAUUUUUUCCACAGAAUUAAAUUAAAUAUGAAUCAUCCCUCCUCUGAUUUUUGAAAUGACCCUUUGCUUCCUAUGAUAAUGAUUCUUCUGGUCCGUUUUGUAGUUAUAUGUUAGAGUUUGUAAAUAGUCACACAUUUUGCAACUGCAUGUAAUUUUCUUAUUAUUUUUUCCUCUUCCUCUAAAACUGCUG